AUGGAGGACGCAUGGAAGGGUCUUGACUGGGUUCAUUCGAAGGAGAAAUACAAGGAAUAUUUGAAGCAGCUUCCAGAUAUCAGCUCCAGCAAGAGCAAGACAGCAUCUGUGGCAAACCCUCGUGUGGUCCAGAAGAGCAAAGGAGUUACAAUGAAGAAGAAUCUGAAGUUGCCUCAAACCAAGCAACAGAUGCCGAGGGCAGAUGCAGAAAUAAAUGUGGACAAGCAAGCUGUGGCGCAAACUAUUGUCCCAACUAUAGUGAUUAGAGAGCCAACCACCACUCAAGAUGUGUCAACAAUUCCUGUUGAGCCUACAACCAUCACAAGAGUUCAACAGAUCAAGGGUAAGAUUCCUCUGUCAACAACCCCACCUAAACCAGCUAAGCAGCAAAAGAUUAUCAAGUUUGCCAAGGGCACAAAGGAGGAACAGGGCAGAAAAGGUGUGGGGUCCAAACAUGAGACAGAACAAUGUGCCACAACCAUUGAUGCAGGACUACCAAGUUCUGCUAGUUUGGUGCCAACUCAGGCUACAAAGAUGCCAACUGCAGAUACCAGUGUACCAACUGAAGUGUCAAUUAGCACGCGGGUCACAGUCAAAACUAGCAGAGUUGCUCAGGAAGACUCAACUGCAACCGCAAGCCCCAAGGUGACAACUCAUAGAGAUUCUUCAAUGACAAACAUGGAAGGAGGUCGUCAAUCUGUCAAACUACCGUCUCCAAGAGCUAUUAUAGAGCAUCCAAGCAAGCCUGCAUCACAAAGAGCUGAUUUUCAGAACACAUUAACACAAGAGGAGGUGUUAAACAUCGUAAGUAGGUGCAAGUCUCCCAGGCCACCAACCACAACAUUACUGCGAACCAGGUCAGCGAAUGAUGCACUUGUGAAUGUGCCGCAAGAAGAUGCCCCUGGCCUUCAAUCCAUAUGCAGAUCAAAUUCUUACAGCUAUCAUGGUGACGGGUACUGCGAUGCACCACCCUUUGACCUGGGCAUAGAUGAUGAUGCUGGGCCUGCUGGAGCACUUGCUCCAGCAGCACAAACAGGGGAAGACAACAUGGUUGUCAUAGAUGAGGAUGAGUUGGACCUAGCAACAGUGAAUGAAGGAUGCGUUGCUACUGAUGCUGGUAAGGGAUUAUCUCACCAGCCAAAUAUUGGAUCACCAGAUAGCUGCCACACCCCGAUAUGCGGAUAA
rnacentral:rRNA from 1 species